rnacentral:lncRNA from 1 species
GGCGGGGGCGCGUAGUGUAGGUUCAUGUUCGCGCCUGGACCGCCAUAGUCGCUGAUCUCUCCAAGGGGCGGGGGCGCGCCGUAGUGUGGGUUCCUGUUUGCCCCUGGAGCGUCAUAGUCGCUGGUAUGGACCUCUCCAAGGAGCUUCCUGCCUUUGAGAGCCUGGAAGAAAGAGAGAGAACUUCUUAUAACAGGAAAGGAAAAGGAAACGUAGAAGAAGAUUUCUCAACCUGGCCCUGCAAGCUUGCAUCUGCAAAUCCAAUUCAAAACAGUGAGAAACGAGAUUGUGGAGGAAGGUAACAGAGAAAUGAGAUCUAUAUGUGCUCCCUCUACCUUUGUUUCCGCUAGUAGCAAAAGCGGCAGUGAUGAGCAGGCAUGAGAGCAGGGCUGCGAGCACAAGCUUGCGAGAAGGAGCCAUUUCUAUACUAAGAGAGCCUAUAGAUCCAAACCAGGAGAGAAAGAAUGAGAAAAACAAAGGCCAAGCUCCCGUAGAUAAAGGCCGAGGAGCACAGACUCACACAAAAGCUGGCACAGACGUCGAAGGAAUGCAAGUGUUGUCCACUCAGUGGCCAAGAGUUAAC